UUUUCUCUCUGGAAUUUCUAAGCUGGGGAGAUAUGACUCUGGGACUCCCAGUGACCAUCCAGCACAAGAAGAGACUUUCUGUAAAAUAAAGUCUUGCAGAGGUUAAUUAUCUGAGAAGAGUAUUGUGCCAGCACACUUGAUGCUACAGUAUUUCAUGCUUGACAGCUGUUGAUUCCUUCUCUUGUUCUGGAUGGAGGAUAGCAACGAAGCCACUUCAAAGGGCUCAGCCUGCCUUUUUGUGUUAUUGUUUAGAUGAAGAUAUUUCCAUUUAUUAAAGCACACUAUUUAAACAUUUUUAUCAUGUUUCAAACUUGACUGUGUUCUGAAGGUAUGAGCACAGGCAGACAUAAU